UGUUCCCUACGGGGGGCAGCAGUGAGGAAUAUUGGUCAAUGGGCGGGAGCCUGAACCAGCCAAGUCGCGUGAGGGAAGACGGUCCUAUGGAUUGUAAACCUCUUUAGGCGGGGAGCAAUGCCGGGCACGCGUGCCCGGAGGGAGAGUACCCGCAGAAUAAGCAUCGGCUAACUCCGUGCCAGCAGCCGCGGUAAUACGAAGGAUGCGCGCGUUAUCCGGAUUUAUUGGGUUUAAAGGGUGGGUAGGCGGAUUUUUAAGUCAGCGGUAAAAUGUGCGGUCU
rnacentral:rRNA from 1 species